rnacentral:rRNA from 1 species
UGGGGAAUUUUGGACAAUGGGCGAAAGCCUGAUCCAGCAAUGCCGCGUGUGUGAAGAAGGCCUUCGGGUUGUAAAGCACUUUUGUCCGGAAAGAAAUCCUUGGCUCUAAUACAGUCGGGGGAUGACGGUACCGGAAGAAUAAGCACCGGCUAACUACGUGCCAGCAGCCGCGGUAAUACGUAGGGUGCAAGCGUUAAUCGGAAUUACUGGGCGUAAAGCGUGCGCAGGCGGUUUGCUAAGACCGAUGUGAAAUCCCCGGGCUCAACCUGGGAACUGCAUUGGUGACUGGCAGGCUAGAGUAUGGCAGAGGGGGGUUAGAAUUCCACGUGUAGCAGUGAAAUGCGUAGAGAUGUGGAGGAAUACCGAUGGCGAAGGCAGCCCCCUGGGCCAAUACUGACGCUCAUGCACGAAAGCGUGGGGAGCAAAGCAGGAUUAGAUACCCUGGUAGUCCACGCCCUAAACGAUGUCAACUAGUUGUUGGGGAUUCAUUUCCUUAGUAACGUAGCUAACGCGUGAAGUUGACCGCCUGGGGAGUACGGUCGCAA